AUUGAACGCUGGCGGCAUGCUUUACACAUGCAAGUCGAACGGUAACAGGCCGCAAGGUGCUGACGAGUGGCGAACGGGUGAGUAAUGCAUCGGAACGUGCCCAGUCGUGGGGGAUAACGCAGCGAAAGCUGUGCCAAUACCGCAUACGAUUUGUGGAUGAAAGCGGGGGACCGAAAGGCCUCGCGCGAUUGGAGCGGCCGAUGUCAGAUUAGGUAGUUGGUGGGGUAAAGGCUCACCAAGCCAACGAUCUGUAGCUGGUCUGAGAGGACGACCAGCCACACUGGGACUGAGACACGGCCCAGACUCCUACGGGAGGCAGCAGUGGGGAAUUUUGGACAAUGGGCGCAAGCCUGAUCCAGCAAUGCCGCGUGCAGGAAGAAGGCCUUCGGGUUGUAAACUGCUUUUGUACGGAGCGAAAAGGCUCUCUCUAAUACAGGGGGCUCAUGACGGUACCGUAAGAAUAAGCACCGGCUAACUACGUGCCAGCAGCCGCAGUAAGAC
rnacentral:rRNA from 1 species